UACAAAAAGAUAAAAAAAAAAAUAUCAUGUACAUUAAAUAGAUACUAGAUCUUGCAUCAAAAUAAACAAAGUUAAAUAACAAAUACCAAUUUAUGCAAAAUUAGAGAAAAUUAAAUUAUUUCCUAAAUGGAUCAAUGCAUAUACUAGUACAUGUAUAGCAAAUAUUUGUACAAUUUAACGUUACUUGCUACACGACGGAGGCGAACGAUAUGAUAGGGACAUCCAAACUCAAAAGUAAAAAAUAAACUGACAACGCCAUAGCUAAAAAUUAAAAAAAAAAACAGACAAACAGUAAUACACAAAACAGUGAAAACACUACACACUAAAGAAUGAGCAACACAAACCCUACUGUUCCAUAUAUGGCAGCCGUCAUAUUGCUCAUUUUAGUACAAACCCGGUUCUAAGUCUUAUUUGGUAGGCCACAUUCGGGAAAAAGAGACG
rnacentral:lncRNA from 1 species